AGAAAAUCUCGCAUUUUCUACCAACUACAUUGAUGUAGCAAGGAAAAACAGGGUCCUGCCAAACCUGGACACUUCUGAGUUUAAUUCUCACGGGGAGGUUAGUAUUCCCAAAAGAACUUCUUCUUUUGCAAAUCUUCACUCAAAAGUGAAUUCCUCAGGCAUUGGAGGUUUGGAAAGAUCAAAUGGUCAUCAGCAAAAUGCAAAUACUGUUAGUAUGGAUUUUGUCAGCCACGUACCUGGUGCCUACCCCAUCAAUCAGAAGCGGGAUACAGCGCUCAAAAACCAUCUUGAUGCAGGUUCAGCUUUAGGUGGUUAUGGAAUUGAGCACAGUUUGAAUAGAGCAGGAAACCAAGCAGGGCUUGAUCCUCAUUCUCCGGUUAUGGACUCGCUUUAUAUUCAGAACUUGCGAAGAACUUCUGAUUAUGCAACGCAUACAAAUGAUCCCCAGGUUAGAAACCUUUUUGCAACUUCACAUGGAGACUUGGAUGGGAUU
rnacentral:misc_RNA from 1 species